GGUCGAUUAGCUUAGUCGGUAGAGCGUGGUACUAAUAAUGCCAAGGUCAUGAGUUCAAGCCUCAUAUUGACCA
rnacentral:tRNA from 1 species